rnacentral:pre_miRNA from 1 species
AGAAUCUGUAAAGCUCAGGAGGGAUAGCGCCAUGGAUGAUCUUCUCUUCACUCUUGAUCUUCUCUUGCGCUAUCCAUCCUGAGUUUCAUGGCUUCUAUCCACACA